UACGAAGGGGCUAGCGUUGCUCGGAAUCACUGGGCGUAAAGGGUGCGUAGGCGGGUCUUUAAGUCAGGGGUGAAAUCCUGGAGCUCAACUCCAGAACUGCCUUUGAUACUGAGGAUCUUGAGUACGGGAGAGGUGAGUGGAACUGCGAGUGUAGAGGUGAAAUUCGUAGAUAUUCGCAAGAACACCAGUGGCGAAGGCGGCUCACUGGCCCGUAACUGACGCUGAGGCACGAAAGCG
rnacentral:rRNA from 1 species